UACGUAGGGGGCAAGCGUUGUCCGGAUUUAUUGGGCGUAAAGAGCGUGUAGGCGGCCACACAGGUCAGCUGUGAAAACUCGAGGCUCAACCUCGAGACGUCGGUUGAAACCGUAUGGCUAGAGUCCGGAAGAGGAGAGUGGAAUUCCCGGUGUAGCGGUGAAAUGCGCAGAUAUCAGGAGGAACACCCGUGGCGAAGGCGGCUCUCUGGGACGGUACUGACGCUGAGACGCGAAAGCGUGGGGAGCGAACAGG
rnacentral:rRNA from 1 species